rnacentral:rRNA from 1 species
GGCCAACCUACCCUAGGGAGGUAGAUAACCCCUGGGAAACUGGGGUUAAACUACCAUAGGAGGCGGGAUCUGGAAAGACCCGCCUCUGAAAGUGGUGUACGGGGAUGCCUGUACACCAGCCCUAGGAUGGGGCUGCGGCCCAUCAUGGUUGUUGGUGGGGUAACGGCCCACCAAGCCUAUAACGGGUACGGGCCCUGAGAGGGGGAGCCCGGAGAUGGACUCUGAGACAAGAGUCCAGGCCCUACGGGGCGCAGCAGGCGCGAAAACUCCCCAAUGCCCGAAAGGGUGAGGGGGUCACCCCGAGUGCCACCCUCGCGGUGGCUUUUGCGGGGUCUAAAAAGCCCCGCGAAUAAGGGGAGGGCAAGACGGGUGUCAGCCGCCGCGGUAAUACCCGCUCCCCGAGUGGUGGGGACUAUUACUGGGCUUAAAGCACCCGUAGCCGGCCGGAUGUGUCUCCCGUUAAAUCCACGGGCCUAACCCGUGGGCUGCGGGAGAUACUAUCCGGCUUGGGGGUGGGAGAGGGCGGCGGUAUUCCCGGGGUAGGGGUAAAAUCCACUGAUCCCGGGAGGACCACCGGUGGCGAAGGCGGCCGCUUAGAACACGCUUUGACGGUGAGGGGUGAAAGCUGGGGGAGCAAACGGGAUUAGAUACCCCCGGUAGUCCCCAGCUGUAAACGAUGCGGGCUAGGUGUCGGGUGGGCUACGGGCUCACCCCGGUGCCGAAGGGAAACCAUUA